rnacentral:rRNA from 1 species
AAUCGUCGCGGCCACGCCGUUAAACCCCAACUUCUGAAUGUUGACCUCGGAUCAGGUAGGAAUACCCGCUGAACUUAAGCAUAUCAAUAAGGCGGAGGAA